UCGUAAACUUAAAUAAUCCUAAAACAAGAUUAUUCGCCAGAGUACUAUCGGCAACAGCCCAAAACUCAAAGGACUUGGCGGUGCUUCAUAUCCUUCUAGAGGAGCCUGUUCUGUAAACGAUAAACCACGAUUAACCUCACCAAUCCUUGCUACUUCAGUCUAUAUACCGCCAUCUUCAGCAAACCCUARAAAAGGAACGAAAGUAAGCACAACUACURCACGUAAAAACGUUAGGUCAAGGUGUAACCUAUGGAUUGGGAAGAAAUGGGCUACAUUUUCUAUAAUAAGAACACCCCUUAAACUCACACGAAAGUUUUUAUGAAACCUAAAAACUAAAGGAGGAUUUAGCAGUAAAUUAAGAAUAGAAUGCUUAAUUGAAUAAGGCCA
rnacentral:rRNA from 1 species